AAGGAUGGUGCUGCCCCCAUCAUGAAGAGGUGUGAACCAGGACAGGGUCGCUGAGUCUUUGGUUUUGCUCACCAACUCAGGAUCCUCAGGGGGAUCAGGAGGACCUUGAAAAGGAGAAACAAAAUAACACUGAGAAGCUCUUUCUGGAAAAAGGCUGGAGCUUCUGAGUGCAACACAUAUGAUAAGAGAGAAAUAUUUCAGAGGGUUAUCUUCAACAGAAUGGAUGAUUCAAUGGAAAAUCAAGUGAAGCAUUGCUGAUAGAUGAUGUGAGUAACAACUGAAGAGUGAAAAGCAUGAAAGGGCAAAUCAUGUUAGGAAAAGCAAUGUGGCAGCCAAAGCAAAUCUACAUUCUAUUUAAACUGAAUGGAAGUGAAUAUAAUAUGGAAUGGUGACCAAAGACCAGAGGAAGGCUAUACAGUACAUAGUGCCAUAGACAUGCAACAUGAAGACAACUGAUGGAAAAAAACUACCAUCAGGCCUUCAAUUACCUUUGGGCUCGUCUUGCACAAGAAGAUGGUUGGAGCUCAACCACCACUGAACAUGAGUCACCCCCUCUUGGGAAAGCUCACAACUGAAAUGUGCAUUCUCACCGACAGUAACAGCA